rnacentral:lncRNA from 1 species
CUUAAAUUAUACUAAAUAUCAAAAUUUUAGCUAACAAAUUUUUCAAUUAACUUGUAUAUCGAAUUGGCUAGUGCAACAGACGAAUAAUAUAACAUUAACAUCUAAUAAAAAAUAACCAUAAAUUUCUAUACAUAAAAUGUUUGCCAGCUGCAAAAUGAUUGACUUAAGUGCACGCCUGCAUUGAUAGCUAAUAAAGAUCAGUCGACAUUCAUGAUAAAAGUUCAUUAACAAAAUGAAACAACU